rnacentral:rRNA from 1 species
AUUGAACGCUGGCGGCAGGCUUAACACAUGCAAGUCGAGCGAGCGGCGGACGGGUGCGUAAUGUCUGGGCAACUGCCUGAUGGAGGGGGAUAACUACUGGAAACGGUAGCUAAUAACGCAUAACAUCAGAUGGGCCCAGAUGGGAUGAGCUAGUAGGUGGGGUAAUGGCUAACCUAGGCGACAAUCCCUAGCUGGUCUGAGAGGAUGACCAGCCACACUGGAACUGAGACACGGUCCAGACUCCUACGGGAGGCAGCAGUGGGGAAUAUUGCACAAUGGGCGCAAGCCUGAUGCAGCCAUGCCGCGUGUGUGAAGAAGGCCGUCGGGUUGUAAAGCACUUUCAGCGAGGAGGCGGUACUCGCAGAAGAAGCACCGGCUAACGCCGUGCCAGCAGCCGCGGUAAUUC